CAGGGAGACAAACAACGAUUUUGAUGUCUGAGUAAUUUUAUUCUUAGGCCAAAAUCCGGUCACCUUAGGUCAAUCGGUACCUCACCUUUGAAGUGACUAAUUCACCACCGAUGUUGAAAAAAGUCAGGGAAAUUCUUAUUUCCUAAACUUUGUCUAGGUCACACCCCAUAAGGAAUGAAACUCCGGGGCCAUUACCUCAGGGGGUUAAAGCGCACCCCUGAUAAGGGUGAGGUCCCUGGUUCAAGUCCAGAAUGGCCCAUUCGGGGUUGGGGGUUUAGCUCAGUUGGUAAAGCGCCUGCUUUGCAAGCAGGAUGUCACGAGUUCGAGUCUCCUAACCUCCACUGACCGACUCAAUCACCAUCUCCAAGAUUGGAGUAUGAGCUCGGAUGGAGUGUGAUUUAGAUGUGUCCGCUGGAUGACCCCAUCUUCCUGUCAUUCCACAGCAAGGAAUGAGUUUCUUGAUUUGGUUGAUAAGAUGCUGGGCUCGAGUUUGGCUGGUGAGAGAUCAUCAGCAAAGUCUGAUGUCUAGCAUAGCUUGACACUGAUAGGUGAAGUCUGGAAAGAAUAAGACAUCUCAUGAAUGCAUCAUGCUAACUUGGAUGAUGUUGAUUGUGAUCAUGAGCGAGACUGCAUGUCGAUCUUGUAGUGUGUCAGCACUCAUAGUUUGAUUCCUUAGUCAUCAUGCAUCGAGAAUUAGACUGUUCAUCGACCGUACGUCUGAUGGCAGAUAAUCGU
rnacentral:tRNA from 1 species